GACGAACGCUGGCGGCGUGCCUAAUACAUGCAAGUCGAACGCAGUGGGGACGGGUGAGUAACACGUGGGUAACCUCCCAUCAGAGGGGAUAACACUUGGAAACUAGUGCUAAACCGAUACUGAUGCAUGUACCCGCGGUGCAUUAGCCAGUUGGUGGGGUAACGGCUCACCAAGGCCACGAUGCGUAGCCGACCUAAGAGGAGGAUCGGCCACACUGGAACUGAGACACGGCCCAGACUCCUAGGGGAGGCAGCAGUGGGGAAUCUUCGACAAUGGACGAAAGUCUGACCGAGCAACGCCGCGUGAGUGAAGAAGGUUUUCGGAUCGUAAAACUCUGUUGUUAGAGAAGCGGUAUCUAACCAGAAAGCCACGGCUAACUACGUGCCAGCCGCCGCGGUAAUUC
rnacentral:rRNA from 1 species